GCUGGGCAUGGUGAUGUAUGCCUGUAACCCCAGCAACUCAGGAGCCUGAGGCAGGAGGAUUGCAAGUUUGAGGCCAGCCUCAGCAACUUAGUGAGACCCUGCUCAAA
rnacentral:sRNA from 1 species